rnacentral:sRNA from 1 species
ACAUUUGAUGCUGCCAUGUUGUCUGCCAUCACCGAGAUGGUAAAAUGAAUGAAAAUAAGGGAUCUGGCUGUGCACAAGGUAAAAGAAUGAUUGUCAAUGGAGUGUUUACUUUUGGAAUAUCUACGGCUAAACAGAGGACGAAUAUAAGUGAAUGAAUCGAGUCUCAACACCCAAGGCCACUGCAUGUACCACCUCAUGCAUGAUCAUGAGCACGUUUUUGAAAAAGUGUCUGCCCUGGUGACCGGGUUACACAGACCUAAAGAAAACCAUGCAUGAACAACUAACUCAUUGAUUUUAUGAUCAAAUUAUGCAAACAAAAAAGAGUGAAAACAGAAUUUGUGUAAGACUACGCAGAAAAGCAUAUAAAGAACAGUGCUGAAGUCUGACCAUUCCAUUGUGGACAUUAUUGUGAUAUUCGGCUAUUUGUGUGAUAUUGUUUAUGUGUAAAAUUAAAUCGGAGAGCACAUACAGGAGGCUGUCAUUAAAAAGACAUCAAGAAUGCCUUAAAGAUUGCCCAGUGACCUUGCAAGGCUUAAUUGAGAACUAUAUGGUUUGAACUUCGCUCAUUGUGAACUUUUGUCCAAGUCCAUCUGUGCAUGCAUGUUGUGAUCAAACUGCAUUCAAGUUUAUCAAUCUGCAGCAACAAAUCAUCACCGUUACUGUUUUCUCUCAAGUGCACAUUUGUUGUAACUCCAAGCUAGUCAAAUUAGCAACCUUGUACACAUAACAUUUUGUUAGCCAGUUUAUUUAUAUAUGUGUUAUGGUAUUACAGAUUUAUUGAUUU